CUGAUGCAGCGACGCCGCGUGAGGGAGACGGCCUUCGGGUUGUAAACCUCUUUCAGUAGGGAAGAAGCGAAAGUGACGGUACCUGCAGAAGAAGCGCCGGCUAACUACGUGCCAGCAGCCGCGGUAAUACGUAGGGCGCAAGCGUUAUCCGGAAUUAUUGGGCGUAAAGAGCUCGUAGGCGGUUUGUCGCGUCUGCCGUGAAAGUCCGAGGCUCAACCUCGGAUCUGCGGUGGGUACGGGCAGACUAGAGUGAUGUAGGGGAGACUGGAAUUCCUGGUGUAGCGGUGAAAUGCGCAGAUAUCAGGAGGAACACCGAUGGCGAAGGCAGGUCUCUGGGCAUUAACUGACGCUGAGGAGCGAAAGCAUGGGGAGCGAACAGGAUUAGAUACCCUGGUAGUCCAUGCCGUAAACGUUGGGCACUAGGUGUGGGGGACAUUCCACGUUUUCCGCGCCGUAGCUAACGCAUUAAGUGCCCCGCCUGGGGAGUACGGCCGCAAGGCUAAAACUCAAAGGAAUUGACGGGGGCCCGCACAAGCGGCGGAGCAUGCGGAUUAAUUCGAUGCAACGCGAAGAACCUUACCAAGGCUUGACAUGUGCCAGACCGCCGUGGAAACACGGUUUCCCCUUUGGGGCUGGUUCACAGGUGGUGCAUGGGUUGUCGUCAGCUCGUGUCGUGAGAUGUUGGGUUAAGUCCCGCAACGAGCGCAACCCUCGUUUCCAUGUUGCCAGCGGAUAAUGCCGGGGACUCAUGGGAGACUGCCGGGGUCAACUCGGAGGAAGGUGGGGACGACGUCAAAUCAUCAUGCCCCUUAUGUCYUGGGCUUCACGCAUGCUACAAUGGCCGGUACAAUGGGUUGCGAUACUGUGAGGUGGAGCUAAUCCCAAAAAGCCGGUCUCAGUUCGGAUUGUUUCUGCAACUCGACCCCAUGAAGUCGGAGUCGCUAGUAAUCGCAGAU
rnacentral:rRNA from 1 species